UUCUAGCUGUGAACUGAAGUGACGGUUCUGCAACGUUUCCUCACCCUGCCACUGACGUCGCAUUGCUUACGCCCAGACAACGCUUUGGUCCAGCUAGCUGACACUACGGCAAUGGAAAUGGCUGUUUGUGGCUCGCACUUACACCUUUUACAAGGUUAAAACUUGUUAGCAACGCUUGAAGACUCUCCAGGGAUGAGCAGAAUAUUCACCUGUUUGUCACUGCCUAUUGCCAAGACAACAGACUAGGUAGACACCAGGAAGAGGAAAACCUUGUCUUACCAGAGGAGCAGUUAUCGAAGUUGAGAUCUCCGCAGAUUACAUCAAAAGCCACCAGCUCCUCUGGAUUGGCUGUACUGGAGGAGGAGGUAUGUGUAAGUACAGGUUUUGGUGGGCAGGACUUCAGCAAGAACGAACCAGAUCCUGUUCACCAGUUGCAAGGAAGUUACUCCAGGCUACGUGUGCUGUGGAUGUGCCCCCGUUCAUGGAAGUGACGGGAGAGGGUUGAGACUGACUGGUUGCCAAGUAUUUUUCGUUUGUGAAGCCAUGUGGCACACAAAACAGCUCUUUAAUUACAGCAGCUAACCACACUUAAUUUCAAGCACAUUAGGUGACAUGAAGUCUAAAAAAAAAAUUAAUUACUGGCUCUCUUAAAAUGAUUACAGCAAAAGCUUGAUGUGGGGAAAGGAGCAUGAAGAACAUAUUCUAGAAAUAAUUGUUUACCGUCUUGUCUUCCCUUUCCUUUUGUUCUCACUGUACUUACAGUUGACAGUUUUGCUUGUUUCAGAUUUGAUAUCUCAAGUCAGAACAACAUUACUUUUCUUCAAAAUCAAAGGUUUGUUUUCAAAUGCCACAAUCGGGAGAGCAGCAGACCCAGAUGACUUAUUCUGACUACAGUUUUAUUUUAACCUGAUUUACUGCUUUGUGCUAGCUAUUACAAAGGCGUAAAACGCAAUUAAAAACAUUAGUUCUGUAUGUCCAAAGCUGCUUUCAGUGGCCACUAUGGAGAUGGCGAACAUUUAAGUCUAUAUGCUCCACAGCUUGUUAAUCACUAGUCUCAACCGCUUAAAUGUGAGCUCCGCAGCACGCUGUAACUGUGUUAGUGGACAGAUAAACUUCAGAGUUUAGGACUUCACCUUCCUACCACUAUUAAACGGUGAAGGGUGGGAUUUUCUAGGGAGUAGAGGGGUAAAACAACAGUUAAAUACAAAGUGAAUCAGAAAUGUUCAACCAAGCAUGAUUUGAUACAAUUCUAAAUGAAAGAAAUAUCAAAAAGAACACGACUAGGGACAGAGCGAGCUCUAAGCAGGUUCUGACACCAACUUACCUCUUCAGGCUGGUAACUCCCAACAGCAAAGAAUCUUGGUGGUUUUUUUUUUCUUUCACUCGUGUUAUUCCCAACAAAUCUUUAUCAGUUGGGCUGUAAUAUAAAAGCAGCUACAAGUGCUUCCUGGAUCUAUUCCCCAACCUACAGUUUCUAGCUCCUUGUACCUCCAGUUCAUGCAGUACCCCAAUCGCACAAAUCCAGACCGGUGUAUUCUGGGGAAAACCCCUUGCUACAACAGCACAAGAAAGCCCUACCGUGAAGAUGUAGCUAGACAAAAGCACAAAAAAUAGGUCAUGUGGAAUAAUACAGCCCGGAGCAGGUGACACCAACCACAAAAGGUGUGCGUGACUAACAUAUACGUUCUGCUUAACUCGAGCUACAGAUAAAACUACAGGUUCACAGAAAGCAUGAGCUUGAAAGGGAGCGCUGGAGAUCGGCUAGGCUGACCCCUCUGCUCAAGUGGGGGCACCUGCAGCAGGCUGCUCAGGACCGUGCCCAGUCAGGCUUUGAGUAUCUCCUAUGGCCAGAGGCACCAUAACCUCUGGGUAACCUGUGCCAGUGCUUAGUCACCCUUGCAGUAACAAACAUUUUCCUUUGUUUAAAUGACAUUUCUUGCAUUUCAGUUUGUGCCCAUUGCCUCUUGUCCUGUCACUGGGCCCCACUGGAGAGGCUACCUCCAUCUUCUGUACACCCUCCCAUCAGGUAUUUACACACUUUGACAAGCUCCUUCCUGAGCCGCCUCCUGAAACUGAGCAGUCCCAGCUUUCUGGUGAGGCCUAUUUACAGUCGUGGACUACCCUCCUUUGGCAGCACCUGAAUCUUUCUAUCCUACCUCAUGUCCCUAGGCCAGUACUUUCAUCCGGCCUGCCUUUUUUUUACUCAUAACAAAACUUUUAAGCAUGGCGCAUCUACUGCAUACAAUGCAGUAGCAUCUUCCUCCCCCCACAAAGUCCUGAAUAUAUGAAUUGCUUAACUCUCCGAGACUGACUUUUACAUCCCUGAACUGUCAAGGUUUUUUUCAUUUUCGGUGAAUUAUCCAUCUAGCAUGGCUUCACUAGGAUGAAUGAUAAAAUAAUGCAGCUGUUACCAUAUGGGCAUAAAACUCAGGCAGCAACCUGUCACAGAUCAGUGUGAAGAAUGUAGCAAACCCACUGAACUGAAACACAAAGGUAAAAUUCUCUAAAACAGAAAACUUGAGAAAAACAAAAGACGGACAGGCAAAAACAUUUUAGGAGGAUAUUGUGAAAGGUGUCUGGUAACAUGCAUUGCUGUUACUGAAAAAGCAUGAACUUUAGCGACAUACAUGCCCCUCGGUAAGAAUGCUGAGCCCUUGCAGCAGCAGCGUACACCAGAUAACCUCAGGGCUCUACAGAAAAAUCGCAGCCUUGGAACUCCAGAAGCCCAUGACACUUACUUUCAUGUCUUUGGAGAAAAAGUGCAGACCUUUUGAUGGUCUGGCAUAUCUGAUUAUCCCCACUAGAGGUCAUAGAAGUAAUUGCACUUCAGUACACUGCGGGGAGCGUGUGCAACGCAGUGAGCUGCAUUUCCAUGACAAACGGUGGGAUCCUCUACUGCGACUCGAAUAUAACUGUUCUCUGAGAUUAAUAUUAAACUACCGCUACCCAGAUCACUGCAGCUACACAGCAGGUACUGCAUCUAUCUGUAUGCAAAAGUUACUCGUGAGACUCAGCAUCUUACCAACUCCCAAUGAUCAGUAGCUUUGGAGAUGAAGAUAACUGAACUAAUCAGGCACCUAAGUAGAAGAGAAGCCAAACCUGAAUGCAGAACAGUCAGGGGAGCGGACAUUUCAGAAACUGCUGCUGAAAUGAAAUAGCAUCAGUAUAUAUUAACAGAAGAAAUCUAGGUACUAGCUCCCAACACUAACAUUCAACUUCUCUUUCCAGCCUUCAGCUCUAAUUAAACAUUCAGAUAGAAUCACCGAUCUGACUGAUUGCCACCAGUGAUUAACCAGAGAAUAGAGAUUUGUGCUAAUUGCUCUACACUCUUUUCGUCAGUAACUGGCCUGGAAAAAUGCAAAUAAUUGUGUUGUGACUGGUUCCUGCAGUCAGUAUUUCUGAAUUCUUUGCAACUUCCCUUCAGCUUCAGGUUUUGUGGAAGGAUGAAAGGGUAGUGUCGGAAACGCCAGCCAACAUAAAUACCUACUUUACCUUUGUUCAUUAUAGGAUAAUCUUGCUUGCCCUUUCCAUUCACUUCAGAAAUAAGUGGAAUCCUGGCUUUAGUUAGAACUGCAGGUAGGUGCUACACACCGAGGAACUGUUCUGUCCUGCUCUGAAAGACAUUAGAAGCAGCACUGUGGUGGCUGAGCAAAGCAGCUGACAGGCCUCAUCAGAGGAAAUUAAAAGAUCCAGUGGAGGUUUUUAAAACCAGAAUUCUCAGCACUGAUAAGCACUACGGGAUAUACUGGCAGGGAACCAGGGGAAGAUGAGCAAAAAAAAGCUUGUAAAAUGCAGGGUGUAAAGCCUAGUCACAAGGAAAAAUUGUUCGCAAGACACAGCCAAAGGCUUUGGUUUAGCCGUGAGACGGGCUGUGUCACACCUGACUGUGACAGAUGAAGCAGAUCCCUACAUCUCCAACAUACUUAACCCGGGCUAGGCUGGGAAAGCAAAACAACGUAAAAACAAACCACCCAAAAAGCUGAAGCAACAAACCCCCUUCUGUUCUGCCGGGUUACCUUUCAGCCUGGUCAAGUCCCCCCGUCCAGUGCAACACAGCCCACAGCUGCUGUGUUAGCACAACCGAGGGCAGGGGGCAAGGCCAGGCUGCCGCGCCAUGGGUACGGCAGCUUUGCCCACCUCAGAAAUGUUCGCGGAAUCGCUGCCUAAGGACGCUGAGCGCUCACGUUCCUCCUGAUGGCACCAUCAGAAUUUCAGACACUGAGGGAUCUCUCUCAUUCCUGAGCUGAGUUCUGCUUAAGCUGCAUGCAGGCUUGUGGAACCUGAAGCUGGUGCUAGAGAAGCCUGCACGGCCAGUGCCUGUACUGCUAAUGACUAGACUGCCACUGAACGCAGAGCAGGGAGGUGAACGAGGUUAUGAGAUAGCAUCCAGCAUGCUACGUCAUCCGGACCUGGGCUGGAAUAGCUUGAGGCUUACUCUGUUCUGAUGGCUCGGUGGGCUGCCUGGAAGCCAUGACUCAAAGGGACUUGGGAGCUGGAUGGAGCCUAGGCAGCAAAACCUGUCCAGAACAUUAAUCACUGACUUAAUUGAAAGACAUAAAAGAACCAUGUAAACUUAACAGCCCCUUGAAAAUAAUUACAUUCAAGUCUCAUUAAAGAUCCCUUCAUUUGUCACUGAAACGCAGCUAUUUCCACAGUGGAAAUGAAGAGCUGCUUCAUAGCACCAUUCAGUAAUAGGCAGAGAUUGAGAGGAUGAGCUGCAUCUAAUUCUGAAGUUUUAUUGGAAAAGGAGAGUGUCAGGUCUGAAAAAACAGUAAUUGCUCAGAACAGAGUUGGGCCAGCGCACCUCUUGAGAAGAAGCAUUAGUAGUUGGUCCCCGACCGUAAGCAGUUGGAUCCCUUCACUUCAUACUCAUGCAAGUAUCAGACCUGUCAAGUGUAAGUUUAUGUAUCCUAGAAGGGAAGCCAAAUUCCACUCAGCCACAUAUGACAAGAUGAUUUAAACGGCUAACCUUUUAAACAGUACUUGUUUUUAUAGAUACCACAUCUUUACAUCGCUGAACUGGUUCUUGAGUAAUUUUUUAAAUGUGUGAAAUGUUAUGAAUCAGAUGAUACAAAUCAGAAAGCACAGCUCUGCCAAAGUUAUGAACUUUAGUUUUCCAUUUCAUUACAUAAACUAAUAUGAUAUAUCAAAGGACGGUUAGACUCUUAAAUCAUUGUCUGCUCUAUUUGAAUGUAGUUUGAACCAGAUAAGCCUAAAAAUAUAGAGCAAGAACAUAAGUAGGAAAAUGAAAGGUUGCAUUUUACCCUUGACUGACUUUGAAAAUAGAAUAUUACUUCCCCGUUCUUCUUCUUUCCCCCCUCUUCCCCUUUAAUAUUUUAGGGAUUUCACAAGGUGGUUAUCAAAGACUAACUAAGAAUACAUGACUAGGUAGUAAAAAGGAACAGAACUAAAAAUGGAGGUUUAUAACCUAAACUAGAACAGCAACAAAAUCUCUGCUCCGCAGCAGCAAUCUCACAGUACGUAACCAUAAUUUCAGAGUUAAAAAUAGAAAACCAGAGAAGGACGUUACAUUGUUAAAAUGUAGCUGAAAAAUUCAUGAACCUUCUUUAGAACUAGCCAGUCUCUCUAAUGUACUUCAGGGACUGGCAGUUUUGUUCCCAAGUCUGUCUGUCUACAACUGAAGCACUGACAAAGUGGAAUGAAUGCGAGCUGCCUGACUGGGUUAACCCGGACAUGCUGCAGCGCGUCGGCUCGGAGUUCUAUCAUUUAUAAUACAUUACUGUCUUUCCUCAGUCUGCAGCACACAUGCUGUCUUCGUGCGCUCUAGGAGGGCUGUGUCAUGCUCCCCAGCAUGCAGGAGCACAGCACUCGUGGUUGCAUCAAGUAAAACUAUGGCUAUCCAUCCCUCUGGCUAAGAAAGUCUGAUCUCGCACAAAGGAAAGUUAACCUGCUUCAGGGAGGGUGAAGGCAGAGGAAGACAAGGAAAAUACACGCAGUCACUGUGGAUCUACCCCUAAGCCAGAGGACUGUAGCAGAGUCUCAAAGGACGUGCCCAUCUGCUGCGCGGCAGAUUUCCUGGCCCCCUGGCCCUUCAGGACUGCCUCCCAAGGGACUCUGCCCACCAGGCUUUUAAACAGGCCAAAGUCGGCCCUUUGGGAGUCCAAGGUAGUGGUUCUGCUGAGCCCCCUUCCUUACUUCUGCAAGAACUGAAAACUUCAUCACCUCAUGAUCGCUAUGUCCAAGAUGUCCUCCGACCACCACAUCACCCAGCAGUCCUUCCCUGCUGUACAUCUUUCAAUGCCAUCUACUGUAACCACGCUGAAAACACUGCACGUAAUUUUUUCUGUCUUUAUAACAAGAAUGUACUGCUUAUAAUCCUCUUAUUGACUAAAGCAGAUGGAAUCAUUUUCAGUGUCUCUAUCCAAAAAGCAUAAAAGAUUUAAGUCUAAAAGCUGAACAUCCAAACAUAAAUUAUUGUCAGUUGAGAAAAAGAAGUCAACUCAAAUUGGCUUUAGAAUUUCCUAUGCAGCCUUAAUGGAGUGCCUGACAAGGCCUCGUACCCAUCAGCCAAUUUAUGCAUGGGAUCGCACUCAUUUCCAUUAGUCAUAAAUAAAUACGUAUCUUACAGUGUCCCUGUGUGCACAGAUCUAUACUGAAACGGACUCAGCAUCUUCCCCCUCAAAAGAAUGACAAGAAAUGGCCUGGAAGAAUGACUGACGGCCACUAUACACACGUGGGUGAGUGCAACAUACGCCCCUCGGGAUUGCCACCAUAGGGGAACAGUGCCCCUGGGCUGCUGAGCACUUGCUAGGAACAACGGCUGCUUUACACACCUCCCCCCAGAGGAAAAGGGAAGGGGCCUUCAUAAGCACUUUGCUAAUUAAAAAGAGAAAUAAAUAUAAAAAAAAAAAAGCUCCAAAGCAAGAGCUGAAGACAUUAACAUAAUUAGAAUUUCCUUGGAAAGUGCCAGCAUGGAAGUACAUCCAAAGCAGCUUGUCUCCCAGAUUUCACAAUUUGUCCAACUUUUUUGUCUUGUGGGAUUGAGGUGUUGGGGUUUUUUGGAGUGGCAGUAUUGAUGUAAACCGCCAAGCAGAGUCAUUUUGAGUAUAAUAAUCAUCAUAAUGGAGGCAAAUAUUUGUGACAACUACUAAGAGAGAAGAUAAAUAUCCUUGCAGCCUCCUAGUGAGUUCUCAGCUACAGUAGAAGCACUAGUGUAUUAAAUAUGGUCUGAAAUAAAAUAGAAAGGUCUGAUUAUUCAGUCUAAUUUGGUAUUUCACAGAUGAACAAGGUCUAUGGGAUGUGCAGACAGGAAAACUACUUGACCUCUGGAAUAUUACAAGCCCUGUAAUUCUGCAUAAAAACAUUCCUUUGUGUGGCCAAAUACUGUAGCUACUUUUAGACUGUUCCAUUUUCAAGGGUAUAUUAUAUUGUGGUGACUCGGCCUGAGCAGCUACGUGGCAGCCCUGCAGGAAAGCAACACUUGAGCGUUCUUUUCAGCCUGCAACGUGGAUCUUGGCAGAAAAGUUCCACUUCCGCCAAACCAAGUCAGCACUUCACACUAAAUACAGAAGAAAUUUCUAAAUUCACAUUUACGAAGAAAAUAAAAGUCAGCAAAUAAGCCAGAGUGGCUCCUUCCCCAGGAGCCUGACUUAAGUUCACCUCACCUGUUCUACCUUUGUAGCUUUGUGUCAAUUCACAGGGUAAUUCACUGAAUUACCCUUCUGUAGGGAACUACUUCCAAUACUGCUUUCUAAAAAUCAUUGUAUAGUGUUAGUUGUGUCACGGACCACUCUUCUAUGUCUGAAAAUUUAUAUGAAGGCAGUAUCUAAAUAUAUUUAUAAGUUCCCAAUGUUUUAAAACAGGGUAAUUAUUAUAGGAGGAAAAAGUUGUAUGUGAUACCCUGUUAAACUCUGAUGUUACCUAGAGGUAAAGUUAAAACUGAGAGAACAUACCUGUGGUUCUUAAAAUUAUAUAAUUUUAUAUAUAACUUAAUAACUUUUAUAACUUAAAGUGUCUUAAUUAUAUAAUUUUUGACAAACAAAUCAACGUUUUUCAAUAUUAUGCUGACAUAUGCAAAAUAUAUUCCAAUUCUCAGUACAUCUGCAGAGGUUAAGUCAUCAAACCAGUCAAACCUUCGGAGGCUAGGAGUGGAUCCUGAUCACAGUUUGUUACACCUCUAACAUUUUGUUAGCUCUUGGGGUGCGAGGGUAUAAAAAGCUCAUUACAGAUGAGCAAGAGGCUUUCUUUUGCAAAGAGGAAAGCCUGUUAGGGUUCCGUUUGAAAUUCAGAAUGCCAGUUUCUACUGCAACGUAUUUACAUUUGUCCCCUACCUGUAAAUUAAAUAAGUGCAAAACUGACAGUUCUGAAUUUUUAUUUUCAGUUAAGAGCACUGACUGUGUGAAGUACACAAAAGCGCUUGACAUCAAGUAGUUCUAAUAAAGAUUUCACUUCUAUGCCAUA